rnacentral:rRNA from 1 species
GACGAACGCUGGCGGCGUGCCUAACACAUGCAAGUCGAACGGAAAGGCCCUGCCUUUGUGGGGUGCUCGAGUGGCGAACGGGUGAGUAACACGUGAGUAACCUGCCCUUGACUUUGGGAUAACCUCAGGAAACUGGGGCUAAUCCCGGAUAGGAGUUCCUGCUGCAUGGUGGGGGCUGGAAAGUUUCGGCGGUUGGGGUUGGACUCGCGGCUUAUCAGCUUGUUGGUGGGGUAGUGGCUUACCAAGGCUUUGACGGGUAGCCGGCCUGAGGGGGUGACCGGCCACCUUGCGACUGAGAUACGGCCCAGACUCCAAUGUGAGGCAGCGGUGGAGAAUAUUGCACAAUAGGCGGAAGCCUGAUGCGACAACGCCGCGUGCGGGAUGACGGCCUGCGGGUAGAGAACCGCUUUCGCCUGUGACGGAGCGUGAAUGACGGUAAUGGGUGAAGAAGCACCGGCUAACUACGUG